rnacentral:piRNA from 1 species
GGGACGAUACCUCAAACCGAGCCG